ACUAUGGAGAGUUUGAUCCCGGCUCAGGAUGAACGCUAGAAAGAGGAAUGCAUGUUACCGCAGUCGAGGGGGCAGUAAUGUCACCGGCGGACGGAAUUUGCGUAACGCAUGUGCAACCUACCGCAUCAGGGGGAUAGCCCUAGGAAACUGGGAUUAACACCGCACAAUAUUAAUGGCAUCAUUGAUAAUUGAAAUAUUUAUAGGAAGUAGAUGGGGCAUGCGUAAGAUUAGCUAGUUGGUAGGUAACGGACAUUCCAAGGCCACGAUCUUUAGGGGCCGGAGGAGUGCAUCCCACACUGGCACUGAGAUACCGGAAUUUGACUCCUACGGGAGUGCAGUAGAAGAAUUGGGCAAUGGACGCUCUGACCCAGCCAGCUGCGUGCAGGAAGACGGCCCUCUGGGUUGUAAACUGCUUUGAAUGGGAAGAAUGUAUGGCUUACGAGCCAUAAUGACAGUACCAUUAGAAUAAGCCACGGCUAACGGCGCGCCAGCAGCCACGCAGUAAUACGUGGUGGCGAGCGUUAUCGGACUUAUUGGUUUAAAGGAGUGCAGAUAAGGGCUCAGUAAGUCGGUGGUAAAAGGUAGAGCUUAACCGUUUUUUACAUGCCAUCGACACUGUUGAGCUUGGAGUUAGUUAGGGCAGCUAAAAUUUCCGGUGGAGCGGUGAAAUGUGGAUACCGGGAAGGAAUACCGAUUGCGAAGGCAGGUUACACGAAUAUACUGCGCUGUUGCACGAAAGCGGUGGGGGAUCAAACAGGAUUAGAUUACGGUAUCCACGCAGUAAACGAUGAUUACUAGAUGUUGGUAGCGAUAUCAGUGGCCAGGAAACCGAUAAGUAAUCCAAACGAGUACUAGCAACGGCAGUGAAACUCAAAGGAAUUGACGGGGUCCGCAAGCGUGGAUAUGGUUUAAUUCGAUGAUACGCGAGGAAUCCACUGGCUAGAAUGUGAAGGAAUGAUUCAGAGAUGAAUCAGUCACAAUGACGCGAAACAAGGUGCUGCAUGCCGUCGUCAGUUCGUGCCGUGAGGUGUUGGGUUAAGUCCCGCAACGAACGCAACCCCUAUAGACUAUGCCAGCACGUAAAGGUGGGGGACUCAGUCGAGACUGCCCACUGGGGCAGAGAGGAAGGAGGGGACGACGUCAGGUGUCCAAGGCCCUUACGCCCAGGGGCGACACAUGCUACAAUGGCAGGUACCAGAGUGCAGCGAGCUUGUAAGAGUAAGCGAACUGCAAAAGCCUGUCCAGUCCGGAUUGGGGUCUGCAACUCGGACCCAUGAAGCUGGAAUCGCGCUGGUAAUCGCUAUCAGCCAUGAGGUGGUGAAUAGGUCCCCGGACCUUGUACACAUCGCCCGUCAAGCCAUGGGAGUUGGGACCUGAAGCGGAAGGUAAAAGACUUCGUUAGGGUAGAACUAGUGACUGGGGCUAAGUCGUAAGAAGGUAGCCGUACAGAAGGGCCAGAAUUCCUCCUUU
rnacentral:rRNA from 1 species